GGGAAACUGCCCGAUGGAGGGGGAUAACUACUGGAAACGGUAGCUAAUACCGCAUAACGUCGCAAGACCAAAGUGGGGGACCUUCGGGCCUCACACCAUCGGAUGUGCCCAGAUGGGAUUAGCUAGUAGGUGGGGUAAUGGCUCACCUAGGCGACGAUCCCUAGCUGGUCUGAGAGGAUGACCAGCCACACUGGAACUGAGACACGGUCCAGACUCCUACGGGAGGCAGCAGUGGGGAAUAUUGCACAAUGGGCGCAAGCCUGAUGCAGCCAUGCCGCGUGUAUGAAGAAGGCCUUCGGGUUGUAAAGUACUUUCAGCGGGGAGGAAGGCGGUGAAGUUAAUAGCUUCACCGAUUGACGUUACCCGCAGAAGAAGCACCGGCUAACUCCGUGCCAGCAGCCGCGGUAAUACGGAGGGUGCAAGCGUUAAUCGGAAUUACUGGGCGUAAAGCGCACGCAGGCGGUCUGCCAAGUCGGAUGUGAAAUCCCCGGGCUUAACCUGGGAACUGCAUUCGAAACUGGCAGGCUAGAGUCUUGUAGAGGGGGGUAGAAUUCCAGGU
rnacentral:rRNA from 1 species